ACCGGAUGGACCCCAUUUGCAUGGACAGCCCCUUCUGUGGCAAAUGGUAGAGGAUAAAAGGAAGCCUGGGGCAGCCCACUGCACUGUGGGGACCAGAGUCUGUGUCACUAUGGCCUGGACUCUUGUUCUCCUCAUGUUCCUGUCUCACUGCACAGGUUCCAUCUCCCAGCUUUUGGUGACCCAGCCUCCCUUCCUCUCUGCAUCUCUGGGAACAACAGCCAGACUCACCUGCACCCUGAGCAGUGACAUCAGUGUUGAUAUUUACCCCAUAUUCUGGUACCAGCAGAAACCAGGGAGCCCUCCUCGUUACCUCCUUACCUAUGUAACAGACUCAAACAAGCACCAGGGCUCUGGGGUCCCAAGCCGCUUCUCUGGAUCCAAAGAUGCCUCGGCCAGUGCAGGGAUUCUGCUCAUCUCUGGACUCCAGGCAGAGGAUGAGGCUGAUUAUUACUGUCAGUCAUUUGAUGCUAGUGGUGGACACAGUGAUACGGGUAGAUGA